rnacentral:rRNA from 1 species
GACGUAGGGCGCGAGCGUUGUCCGGAUUUAUUGGGCGUAAAGAGCUCGUAGGCGGCUUGUCGCGUCGUCUGUGAAAACCCGCGGCUCAACGGCGGGCUUGCAGUCGAUACGGGCAGGCUGGAGUUCGGUAGGGGAGACUGGAACUCCUGGUGUAGCGGUGGAAUGCGCAGAUAUCAGGAAGAACACCAACGGCGAAGGCAGCUCGCUGGGACGGAACUGACGCUAAGGCGCGAAAGCGUGGGGAGCGAACAGG